CUAUACUCUACAAUCUACAUACAAAAUUCAAGUAAUUCGGGUAACGCUAUACAUACUUACAAAAUUCAAGUAACUCUUAUUAACACUCUACUCAACAUGGCUUACCAAAUUCAGUGACGUCUUCGUAAACAUCUAUUCUAAAAACAUUCCUUUGAAAAACAUCCGUUCAUUGGGUGGGAACGGAUGUGUGCUGCUCGGGACGCUCUCACGUUCAACACCUCAUCUCUCCUCUCUUCUCUCUCUUUCUUCUCCUCUCCUCUACUUUCCACAUCUCUCUUUUUUUCUUUUUCCUUCUGGUUCUGUCUCUGCGUCUCUAUUCUAGUCUUUUGAUCGGCCAUACUCUCUAUCUAUCUAUCUGUUUAUCUAUUUAUCUAUCUAUCGCUAUACUUUUUAUUAUUUUUAUCGGAGUUUUGUUACCUUAUGUUAAGCAGUUCGAGAUGUUCACCUAAUGAUGUUCUCGUGUGUAUUUAAUAAGUUGGUCAAUAUUUUUUUUUUAUACGCUGUUAACGGACAGACAGACAAACCGAGGAACAACGAAAAUAUCAAAGAGUUCAUCGCUACACUAAGGCGAACAACAAGUAUAUUUAUCCAUCUAUCUAUCUGUCUGUCUAUCUAUCUACCUAUCUAUCUACCUAUCUAUCUAUCUAUCUGUCUAUCUAUCUAUAUCUAUUAAGCUAGCUCUAUCAACCUGUGUCUAUCUAUCAAUCUCUCUAUAUUUAUACACUACACUUUUUAAUCCUUAACUACGCGGGAAAAAAUGUUAUGGAAGGCAGGAGUGUAGGAGGGUAGGCAGGGGUUUGUUAGUCGCGUCCUGGGUAUAAUUACACGUUCACCACCAGUCACUCACUUGUUGCGCAGGAAAAAAAGUUGUCAUGGGAGGCAGAAGUUCAGGAGGGUGGGCAGCAGGUUGUUAGUGGCGUUCUGGGUAGGAUUUCCACCGAGCUCUAUUUUUAGUAGCCGAAGUGCAUUGGUGUUGUUUUCCCAGACAAAGGGGGCGCCCAGGUGUUGCUCCACACCUGGGAAAGAGGGAACUCCGAGGCGUGUGUUUACUGGAAGAGAUCGAUCGAGAGAUAGGAACAAGCCUAGGGAUCAUAAGGCGGCAGCGGCUCUCCCUGGCACCAGUGCAGGUUGGCUACUUCCUUCGUCAACACCAACACCCCAAGAAUGCGUCUGCUGUGGAUCCUGGUGGCGGUGGUGGUGGCGGUGCUCUCCAUCGCCAGCCCGGCCAUUGCGUCGUUCGGCGGAGGAGGAUACGGUGGCGGCUUUGGAGGGCGAGGCGGCGGUUUUGGAGGGCGAGGCGGCGGUUUUGGAGGGCGAGGCGGCGGUUUUGGAGGCCGCGGCGGUCGCGGCGGCUAUGGCGGCUAACAGGGACAUUAGCCCCGCGUGAUGCCAAACCUGACGACGACACAUGCUCGCUCCUGGCUACAACGGACCCCCCACCCCCGAGCCCCCAGUUCAUUAACUACGGGGCUCCCUACACCCACUGGUCCUCCCGCCAGUCUUCCUCUCCUUCAAACUUCCUCUUCAGGCUUCGUUCGUCUUCUCCUGCAUCACCUGUCCCGUCUUUGCUCCUCGGCCAGGUGGAGUGGAAGCCUCACACCUGGCCCCCUACCGCUCGCUAUGACCUUACCUGUAAUUACCUCGUGCUUUAAGAGGCGCCGACUCGAUCUGUCUUGGCGCCUUUUUUUGUGUGUUCAUGUUAGUCACAAGAAUCCUGCCUUAGGGUUCUCAUACUUGUGUUUUCCUUCAAUAAAGCCAAAGUACAUGCAGCAAAA